rnacentral:ncRNA from 1 species
AACAUAAAUUAGGUUCUUCAUUGAAGAUUAAUAGGGAAGAAGGUAAAAAGCCUUCGCAGCCCCCGCUACUGUGAUACUGACGAAACUAUUAGACACCACUGUGACGAUUUACGGGAAGGAAUAGAAGUAGGUUGAAGUUUAGCCAGGAGACCUGCCUAGUUUAU